rnacentral:rRNA from 1 species
GAUGAACGCUAGCGACAGGCCUAACACAUGCAAGUCGAGGGGCAGCACAAGGAGCAAUCUGAGGUGGCGACCGGCGCACGGGUGAGUAACACGUAUGCAACCUGCCUGUAAGCGGGGGAUAACCCGUUGAAAGACGGACUAAUACCCUAUAACACAGGGGUCCCGCAUGGGAAUAUUUGUUAAAGGACAACCGGUUGAAGAUGGGCAUGCGUUCCAUUAGCUAGUUGGCGGGGUAACGGCCCACCAAGGCAACGAUGGAUAGGGGAACUGAGAGGUUUAUCCCCCACACUGGUACUGAGACACGGACCAGACUCCUACGGGAGGCAGCAGUGAGGAAUAUUGGUCAAUGGACGCAAGUCUGAACCAGCCACGUCGCGUGAAGGAAGACGGCCCUACGGGUUGUAAACUUCUUUUAUACGGGAAUAAAGUGCCCCACGCGUGGGGUUUUGCAUGUACCGUAUGAAUAAGGAUCGGCUAACUCCGUG